rnacentral:tmRNA from 1 species
GGGGGUGACUUGGCUUCGACAAGGAAAACGAUUCUUGCAUGCGCGUUGCACAGGUGCGAUACCUGUCUAAACAGUCGCAAAAACCUAAGUGCGAAUAAAACAGCACGGGCAAUUUUGUCACCUAUCCAGAUGGCAGAUUUGCAGCCUGGUUACGCUUUUGCCUAACCACCGUCCGCAGAAAUGAAACUUGAUUAGUUUCUCGCGGGCGUCAUAAAAUCUUCCGCCGAAGGCGGAUCCUCCUCUGGAGGACAAGUACAAGCAUGUGCCGUCUCACACAUGCCCAAGGGACGAGACUAAGAGUACGAUGGUUCUGUUCGCCUCACACAUCGCACUCCGAAACCUUCAAGACGAACUACGCACCGUAGACCAUGUAAGACAUCUUUCUUUGGACGCGGGUUCGAUUCCCGCCAUCUCCACAA